rnacentral:rRNA from 1 species
UACGUAGGCAGCAAGCGUUUGUUCGGAGUUACUGGGUGUAAAGAGUCUGUAGGCGGUGCUCUAAGUUUGGUGUGAAAUCUCCCGGCUUAACCGGGAGGGUGCGCCGAAGACUGGGGUGCUGGAGUCUGGGAGAGGAAAGCGGAAUUCCUGGUGUAGCGGUGAAAUGCGUAGAUAUCAGGAGGAACACCGGUGGUGUAGACGGCUUUCUGGACCAGUACUGACGCUGAGAGACGAAAGCGUGGGGAGCAAACAGG